GGGAACCCCUGCAACAGUGUCGCAGUGUGCUCGCUGCUACAGAGCGCUGUGGAGGCUGCCAGUGCUGUCAGAUGAGGGGGGAAAAUAGACGAGAGAAGAAAAAAAAUACACAUACAGUCAGCAAACAAUGUGAAAAUUUACUGUAGCAUCACAUGGCAGAUAUUAUUUACCUUAUUGUGCAUCAACUGAUGCACACUGUAUCCCAUCUGUGAUGCAGGUAGACACAAAACUUUAUAUCCCACGGCUAAAAAAUACUGCUGUUUUCUAGGUACAGCCAAUCCCUGCUAAACUGGAAUGCACACAAACCCCACGACGUUCCUUAGAGCGGGAGCGUGUCCUCGCCGGUCAGCUGCAACAUCGGGCAGGCAAUGCUGUAGCUCAGGUUACUCAGAGGUUGUCAUCAUCCCAGGAUCAGGUUGAGCAUCUUCUGGAACUGAAUUAUCCCAGGCUUGUCAGAGCUCCCUGGUGCUGCGCGGUGUCCUCGCACGUCACAAGAGGCAACGUCUGCCCCAAGGAACUUAUAAUGAAAAACUGCAGAAUGGGCUGGGAGAAGGGAAUUAAUCAAUGAUUGACUUUCUCUGCAUUAAAUACAGUGUGUAUUUUAGAUGAGCACCAAGAAGCUCCUGCAGAGACUGUGCUCAGCACUGGACAUGGACAUGCCGAGAGGUAGGUCCUGUCCCACAUAGACCCAAAGGGAUGGUUGUGUCCUGGUUUAUACAGACUCUUGGUGGACCCGGCUUAAUGCGUGAGCCAUUCUGGUCAAGGCUGGGAUGGGAAGUUCAUCAGACAGGCAAUGUUUGACGACUCGAGGCCAAAGAAAACUGAUGUUAUGUGCCAAGUAUGGUGAGGGAUGGGGUGGGCAACCAAGAAGGUACUUGUUAUAUUAGGACACAUUCAGGGUUUUUGAGCCUGAAUUUUGCAGCCGAUGUGUCUCACUCUUAUUCCUAAUAUCCUCUCAAACUUCUCCCAAAUAUCUUCUUAACUUCUGGAUACCAUCAGCUGAUGUGGCAGCAAAUGUUCCCAAUUCCUGAGUCUACAUUAGAUGCUUGAAUCAGGACUGUGCUGUUGAGGCAAAUCUCCAGAUUGUACCGAUUUACUGUGGUUUGGUUUGUAUCACAGAUCAGUCUGGGAGUGCAUGAACUGAGCUCUCUUCCAGUGAACCUAAAGCAGUGAGAUCCUCCAGAACAGUCCACAUGAACUUUGGCCACCACUGGGCAUAUAGUCCAUGGGACCCCAUUACAGUUAGCCUGAAACACCCCCACUUCACUGAAACACCUCUGAUGUGGAGAUGGGGUCUUCAGCAUCCACUGGAUCGCUCCAGAAAACCACUCCUCCAAGGCCACAAUUGCUCACUGCUGAGGGCAGAGGAAGAGGGUUUAGGCUUGGAGACAAGCCCAGCCCCUCAGAGCAGGAUGGACAUAACUCACUCUGGCCACAGAGCGCAGCAGCCACCAGCCUAUCUGCAGGCACAGCUAACAAAACAAGUGUAGAUGUAGCCAAAGGACAGUAAAAGUACUCAAAUGUUUUGUGACAAGAAGUCAGGCAGAGAAGGAGAACUCAGUGAUUUCACUGAGGGCAAGUGAUAGCAUAAGCUUAAACCUGAUUAGAAAUCAAAGAACUACAGGAGAGAAAUGCUCAAAUAGCAGAAAAAAAAUUAUAUUUAAAAUAUAUAAAUAAAUAUUUAUAUAAUAUAUAAAUUAUUAGCAGGGCUCUCCUUUCAUAGGACUGCUUCUUGUAUUAUAAAUAACGCAGGAUCUGAAUACAAAUGAAGAUAUCAGUAAGCACAAUUUUGUGGCUGCAGUAGCCAGGGGGUCAGACCAGAAUGAUGCUGAAAUGGUCACUUCUGCCCUUCAAAGUUUCCAAAGUAUACAAUUUUGAGCAGGUGAUUCAAAGUGUAGCAGAUUGUCACAUGCAUGCAGAUGCCAUUAAAAACACACUGAAGAAAUUAAAAGCAAACCCUUCUCUUCUAGUGUUACUAUACAAAUAAUAAAAACACUUGCCAGUCCACUGGAUAAAUAUCCUACAUAUAUACAUAUACAUAUUUUAAAAGAUAUGGGAAGUCCCUGUCACCAUAAUGCUUAAAACCUUAAAAAUUCGAUUCCAACUCUUGAUCUCCAGGAAACUGCAAAUCUCAUGAGGAAAACUUGAGCUGCUUUGUGCUGGCUGUCACCUGGAGCUCAACGCAGCCAGAACCAGUGCUCCAAGAACCCAUUGUUGUGCCUGUGUCCUCAUCCAGCAGCACGGCUGCUGCUCCUUGCACGGACGUCUGCAUGUGGGGAUCUGCAGGGGUAAUCAACCCGUGAAAUGAAACCCAAGUUAUCAUGCCCACACCAUGCUUAACUGUGUAAUUUUAGGUAAAGAACAUAGUUAGCAUUAGGUGUGUGAGGGUUGGGAAUGCAACAGGAAUGUGAAAGUUUUUAUUUUUCUUUUAAUAUGUGUCUAUAAUGCCAGUGUUUCAGUCUCAAAGGAUUUGCCUAUCUGACUGUAGUUAAGAUUGUGAUGUUCCCUCACACAGAUCAUUGGAAUUUCAGCAUUUUCAGGUAUCUUCCCAGACCUAAGAACUCAUGACGUGCUACUUUGUAAGGAGAGGGGAAAAGCAGCAGUUUGCAGCAGACUUCAGUCCCUUCAGAUCAAAGCCCAGGCCUUCUGAUGUGUGUCUGCAGUGCCUAAUGGUGCCUGGUCCAGGCUGGGACUUGUGGUUAUCACUGUAACAACAAAAGCAACUGCAGUGGUGUAUGGCACAGAACCGAUAUAUUUGCUAUUUUUGUUUGUUUUAUAUAUAACUAGCCCAUUUUCUAUGCAAACCAAUUCAGUUCCUGUUUAUAUACCAAACUGCCCACAGCAUGUUUGCUGCCCCUUGUCAUGGCUGUCAUUAUUCCUGGUGAAGAAGACUCUACUGCUCUCACUUUGGAGCUUGUCAACGGCACUGACACCCUGCCAUCCCAGGGCUCUCCAGCUUUGGCACCUUGGAACAGAAGCUGGAAACCAAAGCUAGGUCUUCUGUCUGACUUCUCCCAGGGAUUUUAGCAAGCCAUCAGGAAGAGCAGCAAACAGGCCCCAUUCAGUUCUGCUCUUCCCAUUACCAGUUCAGCUGACACUUAGCCUUGUAGGAAAUUCAUCAGAGAAGGACAAGCAAACUCAUACAUCUAUUUAUUCUCAAGAGGAAUUUCUAAAAAGCAAACCCACAAUGUUUCAGCAUGACUAUAUAUUAAUUAUUUUUUCCAGAGAGCUUGCUAUUGUUUUGCUAUUGAGAAAUACACCUUCAAACAUUGGAUUUGCUCAGUUUUAGAAGCACAACUAUGUUUAUUAUAUUUGGUGCUGUGAAAAGCACUUCUAAGUUGUAUUUUUAUUGAGCUAGACUUUUGUUUCAGACCAAAUCUGAGUUGUUUGUCUAAAAGCUGUUAGUGCCUAGACUGAGAUACUAGCUCAGUAAUUCUAAUAGGAAGUCAUACAGUUUCUUCCUUUGAGUACCUCUGAGUACAGCCCACCUUUUAAAAAGGGAGGAACAAAUUCUCUGUUGGCCCACAAAGGUGCUGUCAUUACUUGAAAUCAUGGAACAGAGUUUGUUCUACUGGGGGUUAACUCAGUAAUUCCAUUUCAUCUUACCAUGCUAGUCUUUCUUCUUAUGCCUGACUGAAUAAAAACCAAUUUUAUCCAAAGCUUCAUAGUUUAAACAUUUUAAAAUAAUUUUUAAAAGUAACACUGAACUAUAUGCUACCUAUAUAUAUGCUCAAAAAGGAUGGGAACAGGACUGCCUGCUCUUCUGGCAUGGUAUCAAUACACUACCUGGCAAUCAACUUUUUUUUGCCACUAACUCCUACAUUCAGUAUUUUCAGGUAAUGUAAUACCAAGGCACUGUUGAUGCACCUUAUCCUGAAGCACUUAAUAAACGAGAGUUAACAGAUGUGAAAUCUGAGGAAGGGUUCAGGGAAAUCUAGGGACUUCCCUGAAAAUUAGGGUUUAUAGACUAUAAUCCCACUGAUGAUAACUGAGUGAUAAAACCCACAUUGUUUGUAUUUAUAAAAAUUCUUGAGUGAUUUCAUUGUUGUCAAAGAAAAAAAAAGCUGCUUUUGUUCAUUGUUGAUACAAAGUCACUCUUGUUGUUGCAGACCAGGCACUUCCUACUUUACCUGGGUAUUUUUAUCCACAGUACUUUGCUGUGUUUGAGAGAUAAGCCCUUACUCCAGACUCUGAAUCACACUUCCCCCUCAGAUUUGGGGAAUGUCAGAUCCAGAUCAGGAUCCAAACUUUCUAGUUUGGGCCUGUCUUUCAUCAUGGUAAAUCAACAGUCGGCAAAUCUAAACAAUAAGUUCGUGUUGAAAUUUGGAUUUUUUUUUAAUUGUACUUCCUUUCUAGCAAACAACAGAGGUUUAUUUUCUUCUCUUCAGGACAGAAAACUGUUUACUCUAUGAUCUUAUUUUUUAAACCGCUGCUUCAUUUGCAGGGGGAAGUCCUAAUGACCUUGCUCACCACACAGCCUGGGAGCUUAUCAAUCAGGACAGGGUUUGGCAGGAAGGCAAGAAAACUCUCCUGCAAUCAGAUCUAUUACCAGAGAUCCCCCUGCCUGGACAGAAGUGUCUUACAGCCACUGAACUCCUGUACUUACAUGUCCUUUUACUUCUAGGUGUAACUGAGGCCUGAAGACUCAAAAUUAGUUCAUAAAUUAAUUUUCUCCUUGUUUUUGUUAAGUAAGAUACAUGUCUUCUGAGCUGCCUGCAAGCUUUGCACACUAAUGAUUAAUUUAAUUUUAAAUAUAUCUUCAAUGACUACCUACAUUUUAAUAUACACUAAGUACUUUGUACAUAAUAUAUGACAGGUCAAAAUGUGAUCACAAACCCAGAUUUUUCCUUUCCAUUACCUUUACAUCUUAGAGAGUUCCCACAGCCAUUCCAUUCUGCCCUGGCACCAACAGAAAUCUUUCCACUGACUGCAGCAGCUGAAGAUCUGACCCUAAACUAGGUAACUGGGCCAGUGCCACAGGGUCUGCUUACUCUGCUAAGUUCCCUGAAUGGUACAUUUUAAAAACUGCACUGAAAUAUGCCCCAGUAAACCUAAAGGAGACACACAGAAAAUCCUGCAAUGGUAUAGCUGCUCUGCCAGGAGGAACUGGUCUGUUCCCUGGUGGGAAAGGAGGCCUUGCUCUCUCUGCCUCCCCCAUGAAGAAGAGUACAGCCUUUUUUCCUCUGUCUCAUUGUUGGCUCCUCUAGCACACUGGUGUACCCAAAAUCCAGCGACACAUUUGAUGCUCAGGAACCCUGAUAACAGAUAUGAUUAGUCAGAGCUAGUUGAUAAAAACGAAAGAAGAAAGCGAAUUUCACUAAAUGCUUACAAUCAUUCACAUGAUGUCGUAGAAAAGCCUCUUAUUAUAUCCAAAGGGUUUGAUACCAGUGUAAAGGCAGAGCAGUA